AAAAAAGAAUUGCGGUGAGCAGGGAAAAAAAAAAGAAUGCCCACUUUAUUUUUGGGGGUCCAAAGAUUCUAUUCUCUACUCCUCGAAUUCUCAGUCUUUCCUCAUUUUCACUCCAGAGCUGCUCCCGAUUUUUCUCAAUCCUAGAAAAUUUAAGGAACGAUCUCAAAACUUUCUCCGUCUGUAGAAAUCGUUUUGGAUUCAGGCGUACGCGAUCUAAACCUGGAGUCAGAUAUUGCUUGGAAAUCGGUGAAGUUUGAUUUGCUGGGGGGAGGACAAAAUUAGAAAGGCUGUGACAGAGGUUGGACUUGGGGCGAAACCUGUGGAACUGUCAAAGAAAAAAAAAGGAGAGCUUUCUUCUGAUGGAUUGGAUAGGAGCAUCUUAUGGAAGAAAGCUAGGGAAGAUAAAAACGGGAACAUUCCACAUGAUGCGACCAAGGAAAGAGUUGAAACAAUUGACAAGUUGACCGAACAGGUGGAAGAAGGUUCCCUGGUCACAAGUGGCAGCAAUGAUAUUCUAACACUUGCUUUAGGGACUGCUGAACAGUCUGGAAAUGUUAGAGAGAUGGGAAAGUUCGUUUCACAAGGAUCUUACUUCCAUACCGCGCGACCAAAGAUGCAGGAGGAAAGAGAGGCAAGAUUGAGAGUGGAAGCUGAACUUUGUCAAACGAAGCAAAGACUAGAUCGUGUAGAAGAACAGUUAGCUCUUGUGCUCCAAACACAGGUAAUUUUGGAGUGUGGGUUCAUGGUAAUAUUGAUGAUGACUUCAUGUGGUUUGAUAUGUUUGUACACAUAGCUCUUGCACAUAUCUUUAAGGCAAACGCGGAAUGAUAUACAUGUUUGUACACAUAGCCCUAGGAUCAAAAAAUCAUGGUUAACCCCAUCAAGGGUUUACUAAAGAUCAUAGUAUCUUUUACAGAA